rnacentral:lncRNA from 1 species
GAGCAAGAGGACAAACCUGGGUAGGGAUCUCUAUGAUGUUUUCUGCGUUGCCCGUGGACGUUCAUCUUUCUGAUUUGUUAGCUGAAGAUGAGGAUCUGGAGCAGGAGCUCGGAGUGCCAUUGUUCCAUGGGCAGAUGUGCAGCAGAGAUUAGCAUUAGGAAGACAAGCAGGGCCUUCAGUAGGCAUAAGGUGAUGAGGUUCAUGCCGUUGGAUCCCACGGGUGCCCUGGGGAAGAGAUGGUUGGGAAGUCUGAGAGGAAGCAGGAGAGCUUUCGGAGCACAUGGAUGCCGUCCAGAAUGGAGAUGGUUGUGGCUCGGAAGAAAAAGAAAUCACCCAGCUCGGAGUCAGGAUACAUUUGGAGGUCCAGGCCGCCGAGUUUGCUGGUGGGGAAGAUAGGCACCAGAAAGGAAAGAGGACAUCCAGGGCAAUUUCUUCUGCCCCCCAGCCAAUCCGUACAUUGUCCAGAGGGUCUUGCUCUGUCAUCCAGGCUGGCGCGAUCUCGGCUCACUUUGACCUCUGCCUCCUGGGUUCAAGCGAUUCUCCUGUCACAGCCUCCUGAGCAGCUGGGAUUACAGGCCAAGCCUACUGCUGUUAGAAAACAUAUUUAGAAAUCACUUGGUUCUUCCUUGCCUGAACAUCAUCUAUUUAGUUAGCUUGUGUUGUUUAGAUGUGCUUCAGAUCUCAAAAAAAUAAAUUAUGUUAUUU